AUUGAACGCUGGCGGCAUGCUUUACACAUGCAAGUCGAACGGUAACAGGGUGCUUGCACCGCUGACGAGUGGCGAACGGGUGAGUAAUGCGUCGGAACGUGCCGAGUAGUGGGGGAUAACGCAUCGAAAGGUGUGUUAAUACCGCAUACGUACUGAGGUAGAAAGUGGGGGACCUUCGGGCCUCACGCUAUUCGAGCGGCCGACGUCUGAUUAGCUAGUUGGAGUAGUAAAGGCUCACCAAGGCGACGAUCAGUAGCGGGUCUGAGAGGAUGAUCCGCCACACUGGGACUGAGACACGGCCCAGACUCCUACGGGAGGCAGCAGUGGGGAAUUUUGGACAAUGGGCGCAAGCCUGAUCCAGCCAUGCCGCGUGUCUGAAGAAGGCCUUCGGGUUGUAAAGGACUUUUGUCCGGGAGCAAAUACCCAGUGCUAAUAACGCUGGGGGCUGAGAGUACCGGAAGAAUAAGCACCGGCUAACUACGUGCCAGCCGCCGCCGUAAUAC
rnacentral:rRNA from 1 species